rnacentral:tRNA from 1 species
CAAAGUGUAGCUUAAUUAAAGCAUCUGGCUUACACCCAGAAGAUUUCAUUAUAUAUGACCACUUUGA